AAUUCUUAGAUUCGUUAAGAUUCUAUAGUUAAUCUUUCAGCAACUCCCACAAGCACGUCAUUACUCAUCAGACUGUGACAUCUUGAUUCGUAAAUAAGGUGCUGUUAUAUAACACUGGCGCUGUGCAGCGGCCUCAGGUCAUGAAUAUUAACAGGCAACCUCAAAUAAGCUGAUAUCAAUAAAGGCCUCCUGCCAGCCUCUACCGAAGAAGCAAACCAGAAGGUGGCACAGUGUGUUCUUGCAGGCAUUGUGACAUCAGCGGUGAUGGGUGCAGAAACAUGACAUAUCGGCUUAUGAAACAAGACAGGCUUCCUUACAUACUGUUUCAAAGUAAAACUUGAUCAGAACUUAAAUCGGCAAAACCCAAAAGACAAGUUAUCAGCUGGGCCUGGCUACAGCAUCAGGAACUGUGAUGAUCUUGGAGGCAAGCACUGAGAUGGAAGAAGCCUGAUCACACCUUGGAGGAAAGCUACUCAACCAGAAAUAUCUACUUUGGAAUUUUGUGUAAGCAAUAAAUAAAUUUGGAUGAAGUCAUUUUUUGAGAUUAUUUGUUAUAGAAGUUGGUCUAUACUGACUGACUAAAACAAUGAAUAUCUGUUGGUUGAUUGUAUGAACCUGUUUUUAAGAGACCCUAUCUUUAUACAUUAUAUCCUCUACAGUGCCUUCAUAGUAAAUUUACUUUGAAAAAGGAUUAAUUUUUUAAAGCUGACCUUCUCCAGGAGUUCAAGUUUUUUGUUUGUUUAAGGGAUAUCCAGGAUCUAGCACAGGGCCUGACACACAGUGGCACUAAAAUAUUUGUUGAAUGAAUGAAUGAAUGAAUGAAUGAAAUUAAUUCGUAUCUUUGUUUACCAAUCUCUUUUUCAGUGCCCCUUUGGAUAACAGAAUGGCUGGCUAUGGACUGGCCGAAAUCCCAGGUAGGAUCAUUAGCGCACCAGAUAUCAAGUAGAACUAUAUAAGUCAAAGACCAGACCUCAAAUGAAGAAAAAACAAACUAACAGAGAAACAGAACAAAACCCAAGGGACUCUUGUUCCAGGCAUACACUAUAUGAUAUUUAAGCAACUGGCUCAAUGCCAAAGAAUUCUGUUUUGAAAGAUGAGAGCGAAAGAGGAAGAAAAAUGAGAGGCAAAGAAAAUUAGAGGUAAAAAGAUGUAGAAAUUUUUAAGCCAUCCCCACCCU